rnacentral:rRNA from 1 species
GACGAACGCUGGCGGCGUGCUUAACACAUGCAAGUCGAACGGAAAGGCCCCUUUGGGGGUACUCGAGUGGCGAACGGGUGAGUAACACGUGAGUAACCUGCCCUUGACUUCGGGAUAACUUCAGGCAACUGGGGCUAAUACCGGAUAGGAAUCCUUGCUGCAUGGAGGGGGUUGGAAAGCAUCGGCGGUUUUGGAUGGACUCGCGGCCUAUCAGCUUGUUGGUGGGGUAGUGGCUUACCAAGGCUUUGACGGGUAGCCGGCCUGAGGGGGCGACCGGCCACAUUGGGGCUGAGGAUCGGCCCAGGCUCCUACGGGGGGCAACAGUGGGGAAUAUUGCACAAUGGGCGGAAGCCUGAUGCAGCAACGCCGCGUGCGGGAUGACGGCCUUCGGGUUGUAAACCGCUUUCAGCAGGGGAGAAGCUUGUGGUGACGGUACCUGCAGAAGAAGCACCGGCUAACUACGUG